rnacentral:rRNA from 1 species
GAAUGCUGACAUAAGUAACGAUAAAGCGGGUGAAAAGCCCGCUCGCCGGAAGACCAAGGGUUCCUGUCCAACGUUAAUCGGGGCAGGGUGAGUCGACCCCUAAGGCGAGGCCGAAAGGCGUAGUCGAUGGGAAACAGGUUAAUAUUCCUGUACUUGGUGUUACUGCGAAGGGGGGACGGAGAAGGCUAUGUUGGCCGGGCGACGGUUGUCCCGGUUUAAGCGUGUAGGCUGGUUUUCCAGGCAAAUCCGGAAAAUCAAGGCUGAGGCGUGAUGACGAGGCACUACGGUGCUGAAGCGACAAAUGCCCUGCUUCCAGGAAAAGCCUCUAAGCAUCAGGUAACAUCAAAUCGUACCCCAAACCGACACAGGUGGUCAGGUAGAGAAUACCAAGGCGCUUGAGAGAACUCGGGUGAAGGAACUAGGCAAAAUGGUGCCGUAACUUCGGGAGAAGGCACGCUGAUAUGUAGGUGAAGCGACUUGCUCGUGGAGCUGAAAUCAGUCGAAGAUACCAGCUGGCUGCAACUGUUUAUUAAAAACACAGCACUGUGCAAACACGAAAGUGGACGUAUACGGUGUGACGCCUGCCCGGUGCCGGAAGGUUAAUUGAUGGGGUUAGCGGUAACGCGAAGCUCUUGAUCGAAGCCCCGGUAAACGGCGGCCGUAACUAUAA